rnacentral:rRNA from 1 species
GACGAACGCUGGCGGCGUGCUUAACACAUGCAAGUCGAACGGAAAGGCCCUGCUUUUGUGGGGUGCUCGAGUGGCGAACGGGUGAGUAACACGUGAGUAACCUGCCCUUGACUUUGUGAUAACUUCAGGAAACUGGGGCUAAUACCGGAUAGGAGCUCCUGCUGCAUGGUGGGGGUUGGAAAGUUUCGGCGGUUGGGGCUGGACUCGCGGCUUAUCAGCUUGUUGGUGGGGUAGUGGCUUACCAAGGCUUUGACGGGUAGCCGGCCUGAGAGGGUGACCGGCCACAUUGGGACUGAGAUACGGACCAGAGUCCUACGGGAGGCAGCAGUGGGGAAUAUUGCACAAUGGGCGGAAGCCUGAUGCAGCAACGCCGCGUGCGGGAUGACGGCCUUCGGGUUGGAAACCGCUUUCGCCUGUGACGAAGCGUGAGUGACGGUAAUGGGUAAAGAAGCACCGGCUAACUACGCG